GCGGUUGUGGCGGAAUGGCAGACGCGUACGUUUGAGGGGCGUAUGGUAAAUACCGUAUGGGUUCAAGUCCCAUCAACCGCACCA
rnacentral:tRNA from 1 species